rnacentral:rRNA from 1 species
AUUAGGACUCUCGGCAACGGAUAUCUCGGCUCUUACAUCGAUGAAGAACGUAGCGAAAUGCGAUACUUGGUGUGAAUUGCAGAAUCCCGUGAACCAUCGAGUCUUUGAACGCAAGUUGCGCCCGAGGCCCUCGGGUCGAGGGCACGCCUGCCUGGGCGUCACGC